rnacentral:rRNA from 1 species
GAUGAACGCUAGCGGGAGGCCUAACACAUGCAAGCCGAGCGGUAUUGUUUCUUCGGAAAUGAGAGAGCGGCGUACGGGUGCGUAACACGUGCGCAACCUGCCUUUAUCUGGGGGAUAGCCUUUCGAAAGGAAGAUUAAUACUCCAUAAUAUAUUGAACGGCAUCGUUUAAUAUUGAAAGCUCCGGCGGAUAGAGAUGGGCACGCGCAAGAUUAGCUAGUUGGUGAGGUAACGGCUCACCAAGGCUAUGAUUUUUAGGGGGCCUGAGAGGGGGAUCCCCCACACUGGUACUGAGACAAGGGCCAGACUCCUACGGGAGGCAGCAGUGAGGAAUAUUGGUCAAUGGGUGCGAGCCUGAACCAGCCAUCCCGCGUGAAGGACGACUGCCCUAUGGGUUGUAAACUUCUUUUGUAUAGGGAUAAACCUACCCUCGUGAGGGUAGCUGAAGGUACUAUACGAAUAAGCACCGGCUAACUCCGUG